rnacentral:rRNA from 1 species
GACGAACGCUGGCGGCGUGCUUAACACAUGCAAGUCGUACGGUAAGGCCCUUUCGGGGGUACACGAGUGGCGAACGGGUGAGUAACACGUGAGUAACCUGCCCACAACUUUGGGAUAACGCUAGGAAACUGGUGCUAAUACUGGAUAUGUGCUCCUGCUGCAUGGUGGGGGUUGGAAAGCUCCGGCGGUUGUGGAUGGACUCGCGGCCUAUCAGCUUGUUGGUGGGGUAGUGGCCUACCAAGGCGGCGACGGGUAGCCGGCCUGAGAGGGUGACCGGCCACAUUGGGACUGAGAUACGGCCCAGACUCCUACGGGAGGCAGCAGUGGGGAAUAUUGCACAAUGGGCGCAAGCCUGAUGCAGCAACGCCGCGUGCGGGAUGACGGCCUUCGGGUUGGAAACCGCUUUCAGCGGGGACGAAGCUUUUUGUGACGGUACCUGCAGAAGAAGCACCGGCUAACUACGUG